ensembl:lncRNA
GAGAGAGGUAAAGAGAGUAUGGAGAAAAGAGGGGACAUUAUGAAAGGAGAGAGGUAAAAGAGGAUAUGGAGAAAAGAGGGGACAUUAUGAAAGGAGAGAGGUAAAAGAGGAUAUGGAGAAAAGAGGGGACAUUAUGAAAGGAGAGAGGUAAAGAGAGUAUGGAGAAAAGAGGGGACAUUAUGAAAGGAGAGAGGUAAAAGAGAGUAUGGAGAAAGGAGGGGACAUUAUGAAAGGAGAGAGGUAAAAGAGAGUAUGGAGAAAAGAGGGGACAUUAUGAAAGGAGAGAGGUAAAACAGAGUUUGGAGAAAAGAGGGGACAUGAAAGGAGAGAGGUAAAGAGAGUAUGGAGAAAAGAGGGGACAUUAUGAAAGGAGAGAGGUAAAACAGAGUAUGGAGAAAAGAGGGGACAUUAUGAAAGGAGAGAGGUAAAGAGAGUAUGGAGAAGAGAGGGGAUAUUAUGAAAGGAGAGAGGUAAAAGAGAGUAUGGAGAAAAGAGGGGACAUUAUGAAAGGAGAGAGGUAAA